rnacentral:miRNA from 1 species
UAAACACUCUGAAGCCACAUUGUU